UAGGGAAUCUUCCACAAUGGACGCAAGUCUGAUGGAGCAACGCCGCGUGAGUGAAGAAGGUCUUCGGAUCGUAAAACUCUGUUGUUAGAGAAGAACACGAGUGAGAGUAACUGUUCAUUCGAUGACGGUAUCUAACCAGCAAGUCACGGCUAAACUACGUGCCA
rnacentral:rRNA from 1 species